GUAGAUUACUUUAUGCAACUUAAUUGGAACGGUACAGAGAAGAUAAGCAUGGCCCCUAUGCAAGGAUGACACACAUUUUCCAGCUGAAGGACGGCACUCUU